UACGUAGGGGGCUAGCGUUGUCCGGAAUCAUUGGGCGUAAAGAGCGUGUAGGCGGCCCGGUAAGUCCGCUGUGAAAGUCGGGGGCUCAACCCUUGGAUGCCGGUGGAUACUGCAGGGCUAGAGUCCGGAAGAGGCGAGUGGAAUUCCUGGUGUAGCGGUGAAAUGCGCAGAUAUCAGGAGGAACACCGAUGGCGAAGGCAGCUCGCUGGGACGGUACUGACGCUGAGGCGCGAAAGCGUGGGGAGCAAACAGG
rnacentral:rRNA from 1 species